rnacentral:lncRNA from 1 species
UUCAAAUACAGAGCAAUAUUGUAUGCUCAAAAAAUGGAGAAAAUAUAUUAUUUUCUACUAAUACAAUUGCUCAGAGAAAUAGAUUUUGUUUAACAAGUAAUACUAUUUCUUAAAAAGGUAGGGAUCAAAAUUAUUGACACCCCUAAAGAUUCUUAGAAAUAAAGUUGUCAAAAGUUUAGUAAUCAGUCCCAUAUUCCUAGCACACAUUGACUACAUCAAGCUUAUGACUAUACAAACUUGUUGGAUGCAUUUUCAGUUAGUUUUGGUUGUGUUUCAGGUUAUUUUCGCCCAAUAGAAAUGGAUAAUAAUGUAUUGGGUCAUUGGGGAGUAACUUUUAUUGUAAAUAAGAAUAGAAUGUGUUUCUAAACAGUUUUACAUUAAUGUGGAUGCUACCAUGAUUAUGGAUCAUCCUGAAUGAAUCGUGAAUAAUGAUGAUAGAGAAAAUUACAUAGGAUCAAAGAUCAUAGCCCCAAGACAUGCUAACCUCCCCUGUUAUUGGUAAUGGUGAGAGGUUAUCACCAUUACCAAUAACAGACUACUAUAUUUAUAAGAAUCUAUAGGGGUGUCAAUGAUUUUGACCCAUAUUUCUUUACGAAAAAUAAUCUUCCACUUAUCAAUUAUAUUAGAAUAAAAUAAUAUUUCCCCAUUUGUUGUUAUAUAGCUCAGUAUUUGAAUUAUAUAUUGUAUACAUUCAUUAUUGAUCAUGUUUAUCAAGGGUUUCAAUAAUUUCGGACCCCACUGUACAUCAAUUAUGUUUUCCGUUUGUUAAGUUAACUUUUUCCUCAUAUUUCCUCCCCACCUAGAAUAUGCCACUCAAAUCAUGACUUUUGUGUGAAUGCACAUUCAAUGGGAUUUCUGCCCAUACUGUGUUAUGUGUGUUUUUGGCAGUGAAAGGGGGAAGAGGAGGCAAAGGCAAGGAUGACGGCAUUCCAGCGAAAAAGCUUUUCUGCCUUUUGUGCACAGGGGCCUUGCCGGAUCUGUCACUGAUGUUGAGGAACUGAGGAAUGGCGCCACAGUCAAGCCAACCAACUUUGGAGAGGAAAACUGAAGG